rnacentral:rRNA from 1 species
GACGAACGCUGGCGGCGUACUUAACACAUGCAAGUCGAACGGAAAGGCCCUGCUUUUGUGGGGUGCUCGAGUGGCGAACGGGUGAGUAACACGUGAGUAACCUGCCCUUGACUUUGGGAUAACUUCAGGAAACUGGGGCUAAUACCGGAUAGGAGCUCCUGCUGCAUGGUGGGGGUUGGAAAGUUUCGGCGGUUGGGGAUGGACUCGCGGCUUAUCAGCUUGUUGGUGGGGUAGUGGCUUACCAAGGCUUUGACGGGUAGCCGGCCUGAGAGGGUGACCGGCCACAUUGGGACUGAGAUACGGCCCAGACUCCUACGGGAGGCAGCAGUGGGGAAUAUUGCACAAUGGGCGGAAGCCUGAUGCAGCAACGCCGCGUGCGGGAUGACGGCCUUCGGGUUGUAAACCGCUUUCGCCUGUGACAAAGCGUGAGUGACGGUAAUGGGUAAAGAAGCACCGGCUAACUACGUG